rnacentral:lncRNA from 1 species
AAAACAUAUUACAAUGGGUAUAUUCUUCCCUUAAUUGACUACUGCUGUAUUAUUUGGGGUGAAUGUAAAAAUGAAGGGAAAACAAGAAUUUUAAAACUCCAAAAAAGAGCAGCAAGAUUAAUUCUAGAUGCAGAUCCUUUAUCCCCCUCAGCCCCCUUAUUUAAAAAACUUGGGUGGAUGACAGUUGACAAUAGAAUAAAUUACCACAAAUAUUUACUUCUAUAUAAAUGUAUGCGUAUGGAAGCACCAAUGUACCUAGUUCAAAAGUUUAAACUGAAAUCAGAUAAUAAUCCUUACUCCUUAAGAGGUGUCACUCAAGGUAAUCUGAUAGUUCCUAAGCCAAAAGCUGAACUAUUUAAGAAAUCCUUUGCUUAUUCUGGAUCAGUAUUAUGGAAUGGACUACCACACAAAAUGCGUAAGGCUCAAAACACUUUUACUUUUAAGCAAAGUAUCAAGAAGUACCUAACACAAUCCUGAUAAGAAAUAUUUGCUACAAUCAUGACAAUGCAUUUGUAAUGUAUAUUUUUUUUUUUAUUUUCAUUUGAUUUUUUUGACUACAUGUAUACUUCUUAAACAGCAUUAUAUCUUAUGUUAAUAACAAUACAUUGAACUACAUGACUGUAAAUUAACUAUGUGUAAAUAUAUGUUUUGAUUGUAUUGUAAUUUGUAUGUGAGGGCCUCAGGGAAGAUUAGUUGAUUGUAACUAACUGAGUUUACCCUCUUUAAAUAAAGAAUUUAUUAUUAUUAUUAU